AUUAUCACAUCUUUCUCAUACAUGAAAAUCACUCACCUUUCGGCGAAAUUCGCCGUUUUGAAACCAAAAUAGGUGACCUACGUGAAUCGUGUAGAUUCGAUGAGAAAAUGUUUGGGGGGGGGGUGGGGGUAGGUACCAGCGAUUCAG